AACGGAGCACCCCUGAUGGAGUUUUCGGACAACAGAUGGGAAUGCUUAGUGGCGGACGGGUGAGUAACGCGUGAGGAACCUGCCUUGGAGAGGGGAAUAACACAGUGAAAAUUGUGCUAAUACCGCAUGAUGCAGUUGGGCCGCAUGGCCCUGACUGCCAAAGAUUUAUCGCUCUGAGAUGGCCUCGCGUCUGAUUAGCUGGUUGGUGGGGUAACGGCCCACCAAGGCGACGAUCAGUAGCCGGACUGAGAGGUUGACCGGCCACAUUGGGACUGAGACACGGCCCAGACUCCUACGGGAGGCAGCAGAGGGGAAUAUUGGGCAAUGGGCGCAAGCCUGACCCAGCAACGCCGCGUGAAGGAAGAAGGCUUUCGGAUUGUAAACUUCUUUUAUGAGGGACGAAACAAAUGACGGUACCUCAUGAAUAAGCCACGGCUAACUACGUGCCAGCAGCCGCGGUAAUACGUAGGUGGCAAGCGUUAUCCGGAUUUACUGGGUGUAAAGGGCGUGUAGGCGGGACUGCAAGUCAGAUGUGAAAAUUAUGGGCUCAACCCAUAACCUGCAUUUGAAACUGUAGUUCUUGAGUGAUGGAAGAGGCAGGCGGAAUUCCGUGUGUAGCGGUGAAAUGCGUAAAUAUACGGAGGAACACCAUUGGCGAAGGCGGCCUGCUGGACAUUAACUGACGCUGAGGCGCGAAAGCGUGGGGAGCAAACAGGAUUAGAUACCCUGUAGUCCACGCUGUAAACGAUGGAUACUAGGUGUGCGGGGUCUGACCCCCUGCGUGCCGCAGCUAACGCAAUAAGUAUCCCACCUGGGGAGUACGAUCGCAAGGUUGAAACUCAAAGGAAUUGACGGGGGCCCGCACAAGCGGUGGAGUAUGUGGUUUAAUUCGAAGCAACGCGAAGAACCUUACCAGGGCUUGACAUCCCACUGACCGGUGUAGAGAUACACUUUUCUCUUCGGAGACAGUGGAGACAGGUGGUGCAUGGUUGUCGUCAGCUCGUGUCGUGAGAUGUUGGGUUAAGUCCCGCAACGAGCGCAACCCCUAUUGUUAGUUGCUACGCGAGAGCACUCUAGCGAGACUGCCGUUGACAAAACGGAGGAAGGUGGGGACGACGUCAAAUCAUCAUGCCCCUUAUGUCCUGGGCUACACACGUACUACAAUGGCGGUUAACAGAGGGAGGCAAUACCGCGAGGUGGAGCAAACCCCUAAAAGCCGUCCCAGUUCGGAUUGCAGGCUGCAACCCGCCUGUAUGAAGUUGGAAUCGCUAGUAAU
rnacentral:rRNA from 1 species